UGCAGUGUGAAUGCUGUAUGUUGAAAGGUUGACGCUACACUGGAUUGCUGGCUUGAAUUGUGUAAGAAGAAGUAAGAAAGGCUGGAAAAA